CCCCUGCCUCCCGGCACCGCCGCCCCCCGCUUCCCCUGCCACACGGCGCCACCACCCCCCGCUUCCCCUGCAUCCAGGCGCCGUUGACCCAACCUCCGGCGUGCCACCAGAUUCCCUUCCACCUCCACCUCCGCCCCUUGCUCCGGUGCGCCUCCCACCGCUACCAACCGGCGUCGGAACUGUCCCUCACCCCGGAUCACACCGCCGCCACUGUCCCACGAUGGGGAUCACACCGCAGCCACUGUCCCAUGAUGGGGAUCGCGCCGUAGGCACCGUCCCACGACUGGGAUCGAGCCGCAGGUACCGUCCCAUGAUGGGGAUCACGCCACUGCAACCGCAUCGCCCCACCUCCUGCCGUCGGGAUCCUACUGCCACGCGACAACCACCGAGAUCCUCCCACCGCGGUCGCUACUCGCGCCGCGCGCAUGUGGAGGCAAACGGAUGCGAUGGUUUCCUUCGACAUCAACGACCGCAAAGAGUACGUCACUUCCCAGGUGCCCCCUCUCCCUGUCUCCUCCUAGCGCGACUCAUGUGUCGCUUGCUGCGAGAUUGGGAAGUGUUUGCUCUCUCGCGCCCUGUAAAUUAUUCGUCUCACAUUUGGCCCCGUCUGCUGCUCUGGUGUCGAAACCAGUAGGAGAUUGAGAUGGUUGUUUCGUUUUCAAAGACUACAAUUGAUCCAAUGAGGAUUCAUCUCUUGGUUGCUAUGAAUUCCGCUCCAUAUUUUACAAUCCAAUGGGUUCACUGUGCAAGUUAACAAUACUGGUUUGGUGUGUAGAAUCUUGCUCAAAUUCAGCGAUAUUCUUUCUUAGGGUUUGCUUAGUGUGAAUUAUUCGCCGUUGGUAUGAUGUCGUUGCAUUAAUGCUUUUGGUCCAUUGUUUAAGUGUGGCAAACUAUUCUUCUAUCAUUGCCAUUGUGUAGGAUUACAACAGUGUGAUUUCUAAUGUUUCAUGUUUGGCAGACAAAUGUGUUGAAAAUCAACUAACAGUUACGAGUAUGACAUCUGUUCAGAAUAAGAACCACUCAUGCUAUUCGGUGUUUUACUACUUGGUCAUUGGUUUAUUUACACAUUUUCAGGAAGUUGUAAUCAGGAGGCAACAUCUAAUAGUUGCCAAAUGCUAAAUAUAAUAGUUGGUGUACAAAUUCUUCUAUGCUAAAUUUUACAGCCUGAUAGGUUCGCCAUGCUAGUUAACAGUAUUGGUUUGGUGUGUUGAAUCUCGCCCAAAUUCAGCAAUCUCUUGUCUCGGGAUUUGUUUAGUUCCGUUGGUAUGACCGUGAUGUUGUUGCAUUAAUGUUGUUUGUCCACUGUUUAAAUGUGGCAGACUAUUCUUCUACCAUUGCCUCUGCGUAGGAUUAGAAUAGUGUAAUUUCUAAUGUUCGCUUUCAGGACUUGACUCUUGGUUUUAUUGAGAAGGUGGCUCGUCGGAUGCUGUUGCUGUGGAUGAUGACGAUCUCGUUCUCGGUCGGAGACUGAAGAGACACGGGAGAGGGGACGAGGAUCAUGUGCUCACCGUGCAACAUGGCGUCACCUCUUCGCUCCGGAGCGUCGGGAUUCUUGCUAGAGAGUAUUCAGUGUAGAUCGGUCAUUGGUUUAUUUACACAUUCACCUCUUCGAUCUUACUUGAAGGGUAGAUCUUGGGAUUAAGGUUUAGAGAGAUUUGUUUCUUGUUUUUGUUGGUGUUUUCACUAACCGGAGAGUUGCAUCUUGUGGAUGAAGUGGCUCGUCAGACGUCCUAUUUUCCUGGUUCUACCUGUUGCAUUCUGACGCUAAGGAGUUGUGGUUCAAUGUGUAUAUUACAGGAAGGAAAGAGAAACAACAUGUGUAUGACAACACGGUUGUAGUUCUUUUCUGAGUGUCUGUGUUUGGAUGUGUUAUGCGUCUGUGAGCGCGCGCGUAUUACA